rnacentral:lncRNA from 1 species
GUCGUGCAAUAGGAGAUCGACAGUGAGGUUGGACGUGAAACUUUAAAAUACCACUGGAAAAUGAGGGUAUAUUAAAUAAGGACAGAAAUUUAGACUUGCAACAGCUGGUAACAUUCGGACCACUGAAAUAAUAGGUGCAAGACGUUUUAAUUUGCCGAGAGCGUUGAUCCAUAAAAUCUACCCUGAAGUCGAUCAUCGAUGUUUACGUGAAGUUUACAAUAUCAUUUCACGCAUCCAAUUUAGGUAAGAUACCUUUAGCUCGCUUUAGUAACUGUGAAAAUUCUGUGAAACUGUAUUGUGUAUUGUAUUUUGGUAUGAUAUUCUGUACUACCGAUCACUACUGCUCUCCUGGUUGGUCUCGUGA